ACUAAAAUGAAUCAGACAUGGAUCAGUGAGUAAUUUAAACCUCCUGUGCCAGUUGUCACUGAUUAGGCAGUACAACCACCACCCCUGCUGAAUGCUAGUGACAUCAGUCCGCCAUCUCAUGCUGUACGCUAGUGACAUCAGUCCGCCAUCUCAUGCUGUAUGCUAGUGACAUCUGUCCGUCAUCUCAUGCUGUACAAUAGUAUCAUCAGUUAGCCACCAGCCCACCACCUUCCUGCCACUACCAGUAUGCUAUCACAAGCUGUAUGCUAGUGGCAUCUGUCCGUCAUCUCAUGCUGUACAAUAGUAUCAUCAGUUAGCCACCAGCCCACCACCUUCCUGCCACUACCAGUAUGCUAUCACAAGCUGUAUGCUAGUGGCAUCUGUCCGUCAUCUCAUGCUGUACAAUAGUAUCAUCAGUUAGCCACGAGCCGACCACCUUCCUGCCACUACCAGUAUAAUAUCUCAUGCUGUACACUAUUGACAUCAGUCCACCAUCUCAUGCUGUAUGCUAGUAACAUCAGUCUGCCAUCUCAAGCUACACAAGGAAUGUGAUCUCCGCACAGCAUCCUAAAGGCACAUUUAGAAAAUCCUGCAGACUGACAAACAGAUGAUUGGCUAAACGGGGCAGAUCUGGUGGCGAUAACACAUCACAGAAGCAAAGAAGGAGCUGUGACAAGCAUGUCGGAAUGGCAGCAGCAGGGGAGCAGAAGAGAGGAGAAGUAAUGCAGUAAUACUUCAGUUAUGUUUGAAGAUGCAGCAGAACAAGUGAUCACUAUGGAUCUGUGCGAUCUGUCCGUCUGUGAGUGUACUCCUGUCAGUAUCGGUGGCCCGCAUGCAAGCCCCGGGCCUCUUCUCACCUCCUCAUGGUCCCUGCGCGUCUCCUGCUUCGCCUGCGUACUCCCAUAAUUGGUUCUUUGCUUAAUGAACCCUAUAUUAGUCCGGCACCUCCCAAUUAUGGUGCUGGAUCUUUGUGCUUAGUGCCUUUGAGAAAGUGUUUUAUUGUGUGUGCCUUAUUGUGUUCCUGACCUCCCGCUUGUGACCUGACCUUGCUACUUUGCAGCCUGCCUCCUGACCUUGUCCCUGUGACCUGAAUAUGCUACUUUUCUGCCAACCUUCUGACUCAUGCUUCGUCUGACUACGCCUAUCUUCUGUGCCAAGCUACAUCUGGGCAACCUGUGUGGACAGAUUGCGCGAGGGGUAGUGAACAUGGGUGCCGCCUGCCGCUGCAUCCUGCAUCCAAGUCCAUCCUGCUUUGUGGCGGGCUCUGGUGGAAACCAGCGGCAUCUUAGGCUCCCUGGUACGGUUCAGUCAUUGUCCACACAGGACAGCGUAUCCACCUCUCAACUGUUUACGGAUGUAUGCAUUAAGAUUUACAGCUUAGAGCCUACAGAAUUGAAGAACGGAACUGUAAGUCUAUUACUUUUUAGAACUUUCAGGCCUCAAGAGUGGGAAAGAAGCCAUCUUGUGUUUUCUACACACAUAAGAAAAAGUCGUCACAGGGGCCUGAUAAAGCACCAAAGGGUGCGAUACGGCUGUGGCCCUGACGUCUGAUUCCCCCCGUAACAUCUCAGCCUCCCCGUCUUUCUGUCGCCUGACCACGAUGUCACAGACCUGAUCCCUUGGAACUGCUGCUAAGGAAAGGAUUCUUAUCCUGAAACGCGUACAGCUAAUGGUUAAUAUCGCAUCAGCCAGUGAUUACAAACCAGGAUUCUCGCCACGGAACCACAAGAAGCCUCCCACACCUACACAGCAGGGAUUACCAGAGAAUAGGGAUUACCAGAGAAUAGGAUGGGGAAAUUACUUGCCACUGCACAGACCCCGUACCAUAUUGGAGACCGCAAGCCCUAGAGACAUCAUUGCCCAGGCUCACAUCGCAAGCAGGAAUUCACCCCUUCACUGCGCAUCGGCAGAACUUAUAAAGAGACCUGCGCUGCCAACGUACACUGGAGCUCCACACACGAGAUGCACAGAGCGCAUACAGCUCAUUACUGCUAAUAUCUGCCGGCUCAUCUGCUCGGUCCGAGUGGAUCCACUGAACUAUACAACAUUGGCUAAAACAGCCCAGACUACAAAAAGGUAUGAGGUGUCCUACACCUAACCUCUCUUUAUUCACAAAAUCCUGUUGACAGAGACUAUUCAUUUUCAUUUGGUGCCAAAGUUUGGUGGACUUUAGGUCACAGCAGACCAAUAAGCAUAUAAAUUGUUGUAUUAAGUAUAUCUACUGGCUAUACAUUGAAAGUGAUAUAGUUAUACUAAACCAUUAUAUUUUAUUAUACUAUGUUUUAUCCUACAGUAUAUUAGAUGAAUACUUUUAUGUAAUACACAGGCUGUUGUGGGACACAAGGGCCCACGAUUCCACACAA